rnacentral:rRNA from 1 species
GAUGAACGCUGGCGGCGUGCUUAACACAUGCAAGUCGAACGAAGAUGCCGGAGUGCUUGCACUUUGGCAGACUGAGUGGCGGACGGGUGAGUAACGCGUGGGUAACCUGCCUUAUACAGGGGGAUAACAGUUGGAAACGACUGCUAAUACCGCAUAAGCGCACGGUAUCGCAUGAUACAGUGUGAAAAACUCCGGUGGUAUAAGAUGGACCCGCGUCUGAUUAGCUUGUUGGUGAGGUAACGGCCCACCAAGGCGACGAUCAGUAGCCGGCCUGAGAGGGUGAACGGCCACAUUGGGACUGAGACACGGCCCAAACUCCUACGGGAGGCAGCAGUGGGGAAUAUUGCACAAUGGGGGAAACCCUGAUGCAGCGACGCCGCGUGAGUGAUGAAGUAUUUCGGAUGUAAAACUCUAUCAGCAGGGAAGAUAAUGACGGUACCUGACUAAGAAGCACCGGCUAAAUACGUGCCAGC